CCAUUAACUCUAACUUGUCAUUUCACAUUAAUGCUGUCAUCAUCAUCAAAAAUCUUUUCGACGGUAAAAUCUUUCUUCUUCUGCAACAUCUUUUCAACCUUAGGUUUUCGAGUUUUCUUUCUUUCUCUUCCCUUAAACUCUUUGAUCCAUCAUUUUCCUUCUUAAUGGCUCCCUCUCAGAUUCCUUCGUUUUUCCAAACUUCU
rnacentral:lncRNA from 1 species